rnacentral:lncRNA from 1 species
AUGACCUCAAACACUUGUGCUUGGCGAGUUUAUGUCUGGGUGCCUGGACACAUGCGGGAAUAAACACACACACACACACACACACACACACACAUUCGAUGUUACUGCAUUCCUUCAUCCAUUCAUUUUUUUCAUUGCAGUAUUUAUGGGGAUCCUUGUGAGUGUUUGCACCAUAGAGAAAAAAGUAUUUGACUAAGCAUUAACCAUUCCAGCUAAGAGAUCAGUGUUUGUCAUUCAAAAUAGCUGAGGUGGUUGGGAGAGGACAGCCAGUAUUCCCCAAAAGAGGUUUAUUAGUUUCCUAGGCUGCUGUCACAAAUUGACACAGACUUAGUGACUUAAAACAACAGAAAUGUGUUUGUGUCACUACAUUCUCUGCUUCUCUGGCACAUGGACUCUUCUUCUGCAUCCAGUUUUCCUCUGUCUUCCUCUCAUAAGCAUGCGUGUGGUAGCAUUUAGCGUCCACCCAGGCAAUCUAGAUUAAUCUCUCACCUCAAGCUCCUUAACUGAAUCACAUCUG